CAAUGUAACUGCAGUGCAGCC
rnacentral:miRNA from 1 species